rnacentral:rRNA from 1 species
GUAGGCGAUGGACAACAGGUUGAAAUUCCUGUACCGGUGUGAAUCGUUUGAUCGAAGGAGUGACACAGUAAGGUAGGUCAGCACGCGAUUGGAAGUGCGUGUUUAAGCAUGUAGGUUGAGUUAUAGGCAAAUCCGUAACUCUAAAAGCUGAGAUGUGAUGACGAGCUGUUUACAGCGAAGUGAUUGAUCCUACACUGUCGAGAAAAGCUUCUAGGUAGAGACACAUCGCCCGUACCAAAACCGACACAGGUAGGCGGGGAGAGAAUCCUAAGGUGCGCGGGAAAACCCUCGUUAAGGAACUCGGCAAAAUGCCUCCGUAACUUCGGGAAAAGGAGGACUCAUGUAGUGUGAAGGGCAGUAACGCGUGGAGCAUGAAUGAGUGGCACAAGAGAGGCGCAAGCGACUGUUUACCACAAACACAGGUGCCUGCUAAAGCGAAAGCUGAUGUAUAGGUGCUGACACCUGCCCGGUGCUGGAAGGUUAAGAGGAGGGGUUAGACUUCGGUCGAAGCUCUGAAUUGAAGCCCCAGUAAACGGCGGCCGUAACUAUAACGGUCCUAAGGUAGCGAAAUUCCUUGUCGGGUAAGUUCCGACCCGCACGAAAGGUGUAACGACUUGCGCACUGUCUCAACGAGGGACCCGGUGAAAUUGAAGUACCUGUGAAGAUGCAGGUUACCCGCGACUGGACAGAAAGACCCCAUGGAGCUUUACUGCAACCUAAGAUUGAACUUAGUUAAUGAAUGUACAGGAUAGGUGGGAGACUUAGAAUCUAGGGCGCCAGUCUUAGAGGAGUCGUUGUUGGGAUACCACCCUUUGAUUAAUUGAUUUCUAACAGGCCGAUUAACAACCGGCUGGACAGUCUUAGGCGGGCAGUUUGACUGGGGCGGUCGCCUCCUAAAGAGUAACGGAGGCGCCCAAAGGUUCCCUCAGAGCGGACGGAAAUCGCUCGAAGAGUGUAAAGGCAGAAGGGAGCUUGACUGCGAGACGGACAGGUCGAGCAGGGACGAAAGUCGGGCUUAGUGAUCCGGUGGUGCCGAGUGGAAGGGCCAUCGCUCAACGGAUAAAAGCUACCCUGGGGAUAACAGGCUAAUCUCUCCCAAGAGUCCAUAUCGACGGGGAGGUUUGGCACCUCGAUGUCGGCUCAUCACAUCCUGGGGCUGAAGUAGGUCCCAAGG